UACGAAAGGGGCUAGCGUUGUUCGGAAUUACUGGGCGUAAAGCGCACGUAGGCGGCCUUGUAAGUUGGGGGUGAAAUCCCGGGGCUCAACUCGGGAACUGCCUCCAAAACUGCAAAGCUCGAGGAUGCGAGAGGAGAAUGGAAUUCCGAGUGUAGAGGUGAAAUUCGUAGAUAUUCGGAAGAACACCAGUGGCGAAGGCGAUUCUCUGGCGCAUUUCUGACGCUGAGGUGCGAAAGCGUGGGGAGCAAACAGG
rnacentral:rRNA from 1 species